CCGUCACAACGGCUUCCUGGCGUGGCGGCGUAGAAGUAAUGGAGCA
rnacentral:ncRNA from 1 species